CAAUAGCGUAUAUUUAAGUUGUUGCAGUUCAAAAGCUCGUAGUUGGAUUUCGGUUAAGAGCGACCGGUCCGCCGUUUGGUGUGCACUGGUUGGUUUUAACUUCCUGUAGAGGACGUGCUCUGGGUUUAACGACCUGGACUCGGAGUCUACGUGGUUACUUUGAAAAAAUUAGAGUGUUCAAAGCGGGCUUACGCUUGAAUAUUUCAGCAUGGAAUAACACUAUAGGACUCCUGUCCUAUUUCGUUGGUCUCGGGACGGGAGUAAUGAUUAAGAGGAACAGUUGGGGGCAUUCGUAUUUCAUUGUCAGAGGUGAAAUUCUUGGAUUUAUGAAAGACGAACUUCUGCGAAAGCAUUUGCCAAGGAUGUUUUCAUUAA
rnacentral:rRNA from 1 species